rnacentral:rRNA from 1 species
AUUGAACGCGGGCGGCAGGCCUAACACAUGCAAGUCGAGCGGAUGAAGGUAGCUUGCUACCUGAUUCAGCGGCGGACGGGUGAGUAAUGCCUAGGAAUCUGCCUGGUAGUGGGGGACAACGUUUCGAAAGGAACGCUAAUACCGCAUACGUCCUACGGGAGAAAGUGGGGGAUCUUCGGACCUCACGCUAUCAGAUGAGCCUAGGUACGAUUAGCUAGUUGGUGAGGUAAAGGCUCACCAAGGCGGCGAUCGUUAACUGGUCUGAGAGGAUGAUCAGUCACACUGGAACUGAGACACGGUCCAGACCCCUACGGGAGGCAGCAGUGGGGAAUAUUGGACAAUGGGCGAAAGCCUGAUCCAGCCAUGCCGCGUGUGUGAAGAAGGUCUUCGGAUUGUAAAGCACUUUAAGUUGGGAGGAAGGGCAGUAAGUUAAUACCUUGCUGUUUUGACGUUACCGACAGAAUAAGCACCGGCUAACUUCGUGCCAGCAGCCGCCGCAGUAA